CGACCCCAGGUCAGGCGUGGCCACCUACUGAAUUUAAGCAUAUCAAUAAGCGGAGGAGAAGAAACUUAUAAGGAUUCCCCUAGUAACGGCGAGCGAACCAGGAGUAGCCCAGCUUGAGGGGCCGCUUGA
rnacentral:rRNA from 1 species